GCCUGCGUGGCUCAGUCGGUUGAGCGUCCGACUUCGGCUCAGGUUAUUAUCUCAUGGUCUGUGAGUUCGAGUCCCGCCUCGGGCU
rnacentral:tRNA from 1 species